AGAUUGAACGCCGGCGGCAUGGCUAAAACAUGCAAGUCGAGCGCGAAAGGGAGCAAUCCCAAGUAGAGCGGCGAAAGGGUGAGUAAUACGUUCCUACGUACCUGAAGGUCGGGGAUAGCCAGGGGAAACUCUGGGUAAUACCCGAUGUGAUCGAGAGAUCAAAGGCUUGCCGCCUUCAGAGCGGGGAACGUCCUAUCAGGUAGUUGGUGAGGUAAAGGCUCACCAAGCCUUUGACGGGUAGCGGGUGUGAGAGCAUGGCCCGCCACAUCGAAACUGAGACACUGUUCGGACUCCUACGGGAGGCUGCAGUAACGAAUCUUCCGCAAUGCGCGAAAGCGUGACGGAGCAAUGCCGCGUGCAGGAUGAACGCCCGUCGGGUGUAAACUGACUGGUACAGGGGUUAAGAAACGCAAAUGAACUCGUAACCCCAAAAGGAAGAA
rnacentral:rRNA from 1 species